rnacentral:rRNA from 1 species
AUUGAACGCUGGCGGCAUGCUUUACACAUGCAAGUCGAACGGCAGCACGAGUGCUUGCACUUGGUGGCGAGUGGCGGACGGGUGAGUAAUACAUCGGAACGUGUCCUUAAGUGGGGGAUAACGCAUCGAAAGAUGUGCUAAUACCGCAUAAUAUCUGAGGAAGAAAGUGGGGGAUCGAAAGACCUCAUGCUUUUGGAGCGGCCGAUGUCUGAUUAGCUAGUUGGUGAGGUAAUGGCUUACCAAGGCAACGAUCAGUAGUUGGUCUGAGAGGACGACCAGCCACACUGGGACUGAGACACGGCCCAGACUCCUACGGGAGGCAGCAGUGGGGAAUUUUGGACAAUGGGCGCAAGCCUGAUCCAGCAAUGCCGCGUGAGUGAAGAAGGCCUUCGGGUUGUAAAGCUCUUUCAGUUGAGAAGAAAGAAUUCUGGUUAAUACCUGGAAUUUAUGACGGUAUCGA